rnacentral:rRNA from 1 species
GACGAACGCUGGCGGCGUGCUUAACACAUGCAAGUCGAACGGAAAGGCCCUGCUUUUGUGGGGUGCUCGAGUGGCGAACGGGUGAGUAACACGUGAGUAACCUGCCCUUGACUUUGGGAUAACUUCAGGAAACUGGGGCUAAUACCGGAUAGGAGCUCCUGCUGCAUGGUGGGGGUUGGAAAGUUUCGGCGGUUGGGGAUGGACUCGCGGCUUAUCAGCUUGUUGGUGGGGUAGUGGCUUACCAAGGCUUUGACGGGUAGCCGGCCUGAGAGGGUGACCGGCCACAUUGGGACUGAGAUACGGCCCAGACUCCUACGGGAGGCAGCAGUGGGGAAUAUUGCACAAUGGGCGGAAGCCUGAUGCAGCAACGCCGCGUGCGGGAUGACGGCCUUCGGGUUGUAAACCGCUUUCGCCUGUGACGAAGCGUGAGUGACGGUAAUGGGAAAAGAAGCACCGGCUAACUACGUGC